rnacentral:rRNA from 1 species
UUACGGUCAAAUCACGCUGAAAACACCGGUUCUCGUUCGAUCACCGAAGUUAAGCAUCGUAGAGCCAGGUCAGUACUUAGAUGGGGGACACCUGG